GACGGGGGGUCCUAGCGUUGUUCGGAAUCAUUGGGCGUAAAGCGUGUGCAGGUGGCUUUGUAAGUUGGAUGUGAAAUCCUUGGGCUCAACCCAAGAAGUGCAUUCAAAACUACAAAACUUGAGUAUGGAAGAGGGUCGUGGAAUUCCAGGUGUAGUGGUGAAAUACGUAGAUAUCUGGAGGAACACCGGUGGCGAAGGCGGCAUCCGUGGACCAAUACUGACGCUGAGGAGCGAAAGCCAGGGGAGCAAACGGG
rnacentral:rRNA from 1 species